rnacentral:rRNA from 1 species
CAGCAGUCGCCGCGGUAAUACGUAGGGUGCAAGCGUUAAUCGGAAUUACUGGGCGUAAAGCGUGCGCAGGCGGUUAUAUAAGACAGAUGUGAAAUCCCCGGGCUCAACCUGGGAACUGCAUUUGUGACUGUAUAGCUAGAGUACGGCAGAGGGGGAUGGAAUUCCGCGUGUAGCAGUGAAAUGCGUAGAUAUGCGGAGGAACACCGAUGGCGAAGGCAAUCCCCUGGGCCUGUACUGACGCUCAUGCACGAAAGCGUGGGGAGCAAACAGGAUUAGAUACCCGCGUAGUCCCUGUCUCUUAUAC